AUAGUACUCCCUCCGUCCGGAAAUACUUGUCAGAGAAAUGGAUGUAUCUAGACGUGUUUUAGUUCUAGAUACAUCCAUUUUUAACCAUUUCUCCGACAAGUAUUUCCGGACGGAGGGAGUACCAA
rnacentral:pre_miRNA from 1 species